UGAUGAGACUACUGCAG
rnacentral:misc_RNA from 1 species